rnacentral:lncRNA from 1 species
GUCGGCGAGCCCGCGGUGGGGGUCCCCGCGCCGCCCAGGCCUACCCCGGCUCCUUGGGAUAGAUGGGGAAGCUGAGGCCCAGAAGGGGGCUGAGACCACCUCCCAGUUUCCCCAGUGAGGUGGCGCCUGAGCCACGGCCAGGCCCGGCCUCCUUCCACCCGGCCCUGCUGUGCGCGCGGCGGGUGCUGACCUGGCGAGGCCGGACAGGGGACCAGGUCGGGGUGACCGUCACUGACACCUGGACAGUCCUCGUUGUGUUCGGGGUGGGAAGCCCACGGUGAGUCUGGGGACCCAAGAUCUUAUUUUCCUUUCUGUCACCCCCGCUUGGUUUUGGAUUCCGUGACAGCUGGACCCGGCUUCUGCGUGGACAUAAUUGGAGACACUGGUUAUUUUACCAAAGCUUUGACCGGAAGGAUGUACUUUUGGAUACAAACAGACUGCUUUAAGGAGUCAAAGCUGACUUAUGAAGUUGGCCUCAUCCCUUGUCUACACAGUCACUGUACAGAGUUCCUUGCCUGUAGUAUGUAAAGAAUGUCACUUUCUGACAGGCUCAGGAGCCCCAAAUUAUCCUGGGACCUUGAGGAGAGGACAUUGCCCAAUUUAUAUAGGUAUUUUCAGGCACCAAUAAAUCAUGGCUGGGCUCAAGGCUUUAAAAAAAGUCAAAUCUGGGAUUCGUUAUAGAAUAAAGUUCCAGCAAAGCCAAUUUUAAGACAGGCCUAUAUGGCAAAUAAUUAUUCGUGCUGACAUUAUGCAAACACUCAGGCCAAGUAUAAGAUGAAAAAUUAUUUUAAAUAAAUUUGUCCUACUAUGAUUUGUCUUCAGUAAAAACAGGUACUGGGCUGGGCAUGGUGGCUCACAGCUGUAAUCCCAGCACACUGGGAGGCCAAGGCAGGCAGAUCGCUUGAGGUCAGGAGUUUGAGACCAGCCUGGCCAACAUGGUGGUGAAACACCAUCUCUACCAAAAAAUAUAAAAAUUAGCCAGGUGUGGUGGCAUGUGUCUGUAAUCCUAGCUACCCAGGAGGCUGAGGCAUGAGAAUUGCUUGAACCCAGGAGGUGGAGCUUGCCUGAGUCCUGGUAAGGCACAGACAGAAAGGGUUGUCAGCCAUUUUUUUCUGAGGUUAUAAGAUCUGCAACUUCCCCAGUUAUUC